rnacentral:lncRNA from 1 species
CAAUAAAAUAAAAAUAAAAACAUUUAAAAAUGAAAGAAGAUACCUUUACCAGUUCAAAAUAAAAUAAUAUGAAUUGAAUGAAUAAAAAGUGUUAUCCACCGAUUUUCAAAAUCAAUUUAAAGCCGUAGGAAUUAAAAUAACAAUGAUAAAAUGACUCAUUAAUCAUUAUAGUGCUAAUUUUUUUUUGAAAUAAUGUUAUACUGUAUAAUGAUUAACUGUUUAGUUAAUAAUAAUGUAUGGCGGUAAGCCUAUAAACAAAGCGUUACGCAAAACAGUAACAAAACAAAUUUGUAUCCAGCCCAAUAACAUGGGCUGUUAUAUAAUAAAUUGUUAUGAUACAUCAUAAAUCGGAUUAUAUUAUGGACGUGGUUGCCCGAGAUAGUAUGUAGCCCACAUACGGUUGUCAGUGAAAAAAAAGUCUGAAGAAUUUGUACUGAAAGUUAAUUUCAUGGAAAUCACGUUAUUAUGUGAGUAAAACAUAUUAUUAGCUAAAUCAUCGUAAUUACAAUUUACUUUUAUUUUCUUACUCUAAAGUAAAUAAGAUAAUUUAAUGAAAUAUUGCUGUAUUCUUAUAGUAGGUAAAAGUAUAUUAACAGGUUUCUUAUAUUAUUUGCGCCGAAGAAUUUGAUAAAAAAAACGUUUAUGAGUAAGUUCAAGGUAUUUAAAAUAAAAAGUAACUUAACUUUUAACUUAUUUUAGUUAUUAUUUUCAUGAAAAUUAGUAACUUACUUUAGUUACUCAAAUCAGUUACUUUCUAAAACUAACUUUAACUUAACUAAGUUAUUUUAAUUUUAGGAUAACUUCACUUUAACUAGUUAAAAAAUUGGUUAGCUUGCCCGGCUUUGGUGGUAGGGAAAAUUUGUUAAGCGUCCGGCUGACGAAGAAGUGUUACAUAUAUACUCUUUAAUGACUGUUUGCAAAUUUUUAAAUACUUAAAUAUAGCAUAAUGUAUGAGAUAACACUGCUGAAACAUUUAUUCGGUAAAAUAUUUAACAACCAAAUUACGUAAUUAUAAUACCAUAUUAUUAUCGCGUAUCAGUCCUAACUAGUCCAAUUAUCGUUUCCGAACUUUUUGAACACCGUGUAGAUUAGACAUAGGUACUAUAUAAUAUACAUUGUACGGAUGAUAAAUAUAUAAUAGUGUUAUCGGUGAUAGGGAAAACAGUCUAAGCGCCCAGCCAACGAAGCGUAAUACGAAGAGUAUUGAUUUCCUAAACAUAAAAAUUUAAGUUUUAAAAUAUUUUAGAAAAUUUAAGAGUUCCAUACGUACCUACCUAUCAAUAUAGUUUUUAAAUAGUGCCUGGUGUGGCGCGGUCCGUUCACACACAACAGCGAAAAUUCUCUGAGUGUACGUAUCGGCCGGUGUUGCUGGCUCCCAGAUGCGUAACCACCCGAGAUUUUUAACUACAAAUCCUUGCCACACGUACUACAAACGUGCUUCAACCAACCGUUCUAACAUUUCCUCCCCCCUACAAACAAGAAACAGCUAAUAAAAAUAGAUGCAUUUUUAAUUUUUCGAUAUUAAAUAAUAUGUUUAAAAUCGUUUUUGUUUUCUGUCCAAAUUUUGAAUUGGGUACAACAGUAUUUUCAAAAAUAUAUCCACUACAGUUUAUAUAUCCACAUAUACUGUAAAAAGGUGGAUUUCCAUUUGAAAAACAGAUAUUUGUAUGUGUGUACAUUGUACAGAUCACUACUCGAGUGGUGCAAAACAAUCUAAGAAUCGAAAAACAUGGUCUUUAAGUAAGUAUAUAUUUAAUGAUUCAAAAAAUACUGUUCUGAUUAUGUGCAUUGUCAAAGAAAAAAUGGGGUGGACAUGCUUGGUGAAUCACCAGCUACAUGCAUAACAAUACUGUACGCGUGAUUUAAAAUGCAGUGAACUUGCCACCUAUUUUUAAUUUUUCGAUAUUAAAUAAUCAUGUUAUGUUUGAAAUCGUUUUUGUUUUCUGGCUCGAAUCAGUAAACUUGACAACGAAUAUAGUUAAGCCUUAAAACAAUUUUUCAAAAAACGGCAUCAUUUGUUAAUCUGCCGUUUUUGUACAAUUUUCGCAACCAUGUCUCUCAUAUUUCCUGUCUUGUACUUGACUUUUCUCGAAGUAUGCAAGCUGGUCGAGGCGAUGGGGAAACUUUACUUGGAACUGCGGCAAAACGGUGACUUUCGUAACAGAGCGGAGGACGCGCCGCUCCCGACUUCAGCCAGACCAUCUCGGAGGGACAAGUUCGCACAAGUGGACAUUCGGGGAUCGUGUCACCCCGCCGUCGUAGCCGGGUAUAUCCUCCUGGUCACGGCCGAAUAACGGCACGGAGAGCGAGCAGGCCGCCGCUCGAUUAGGAUAUCCACCGACGCCGCCACCGCUCUCGGCACAGAACGUGGGCCCGGCCUCGAGCGCGACGUGGUCACGGCCGAUUGUCGGUACCGAGACUGCGGCCGGCCCUCGAUUCGGGUUUCCACCGCCGCCGCCUCCUGAGCUAGAAUAUUUCGUGGGCCCGGCGUGGUUCGACGUGGACGGACCGCCGCCACUUCCGUGUUGCGUGGCAGCGUCGAUGUUCACGUACCCGCCCCCACCGCCGCGCCGAUCCGGCCCUGGUGUUCUGGGAGUUUCCACCGGAAGUGCAUAACGCUGCACAACCACGCGUUACCAGGUUAAAAACAAAAGUCACGGUUACCGGCGAACUUACCGCCCGACUGCUCGCUACCAGUCAGUCGUGUCCGACCAACGGUGACGUGCCAUUCAUCAUUUAAUUUGUGCCAAAAUUAUUGUUUUUCUCGUCUAUCGUACGCAUUCAUAUCAUACCAUUACACCAACGACAUCAUCCCGGAGCAUGGACCAACAUUUUCAGCAUCCGAUGGUUUCGUGAGUCGGCUGUUAGCCAUCUAUUACAUUAUAUUAUUUACUGUGCAUCAUAUUAUCUUCACCGUGAUCAACGGAUGCUCACGUUACAAUAAUCAUAUCAUUUGAAACGUCUACCUGUUUUGUAAAUUUAAUCUUGUGAAUAACUAUAAUAUAUUGUUGUAAAAUAUUUAUUGUGCCCAUGUUUAUUGUA